rnacentral:rRNA from 1 species
UACGAAGGGGGCUAGCGUUGCUCGGAAUCACUGGGCGUAAAGGGUGCGUAGGCGGGUCUUUAAGUCAGGGGUGAAAUCCUGGAGCUCAACUCCAGAACUGCCUUUGAUACUGAGGAUCUUGAGUUCGGGAGAGGUGAGUGGAACUGCGAGUGUAGAGGUGAAAUUCGUAGAUAUUCGCAAGAACACCAGUGGCGAAGGCGGCUCACUGGCCCAUUACCGACGCUGAGGCACGAAAGCGUGGGGAGCAAACAGG